UCCAUUACAAUUCGGGCAUUUUCCAUAA
rnacentral:piRNA from 1 species